CGUUGAUCGGCGUGCGAUGGAACUCUGCUCGAGCGUGAGCGGCUGAUGUACUUCCCCAACAUCAGCAAAGCCGCUCGAGCAGGGCUCCACGCGCACCGGUCGCUCACCG
rfam:Corynebacterium argentoratense DSM 44202, complete genome.